AUGUUUUGCUUUCAAGAUGUUUUUCUUCUUUUCUUUGGUCUCCCUAUGAAAGAUCCCAGGAAGCAGGACCGAAGGGACAGCAUCGAAGAGCGCCCGUGGAACCUCGGCUGGAGAAAGAGACUUUUUUUGUCUACCGUCAACAACCGUUGCUCGGCUACUUGGAGAACCAAAAUGCAUCCGCACGUUGAAGAACCAAAAGACGUCCGAGGAGGCAAACGGAGGACGAAGGGAGAGACGGGCUGAGCGGUUUAAGAAAAGGCCAAGGUUCACAGGGUAAGCAAACCUGAAUUCUGUUCGUAAGCCAUGAAAUAAGGCAGCAGCUCUACUACAAAAUGGAGUUAAAAUCCUGAUUCCUCAGCAACUUCCUAAAAUGUCUAAGGUUAGUUUGUAAAAAUCUCUCCAAAAAACUAUCAACCAUUCAAAAUAAUAUUUUUCAGAUGUUGUCUUAAUUUUAAUACUGAAUGCUGCUUUACUAUCAGUAUCCAUGAUAGGACACUCAGAAAUAGAAAGAAUAUAACUUACAAGGCAUGUCCUCUAGCAAAAACUGUAGUCAAUAGGUCUAUAAAAAUGGGCUAAUUCAUUCCAUAGUACAAAAUUAUUUAAUUCUUAGGAGUAAAGCUUAAGAUUUGGAAGUGUAACGGAUAAAAACAAUCAUCUCUAGUUAAAAAGUGCAGAUCUGCUAACAGGAAGCGUUAGUGAAUCCUGUUCAUAUCCUGUAGUCAUUAUUACAUGCACACUUGAACACCUCCACCUAUACCCCAGUCUGCUCAUGCUUUUGAAAAUAAACAGAGCAGCCCUGAAAGGCCCUACA
rnacentral:lncRNA from 1 species